AGUGAACGCUGGCGGUAGGCCUAACACAUGCAAGUCGAACGGCAGCACAGUAAGAGCUUGCUCUUACGGGUGGCGAGUGGCGGACGGGUGAGGAAUACAUCGGAAUCUACUUUUUCGUGGGGGAUAACGUAGGGAAACUUACGCUAAUACCGCAUACGACCUACGGGUGAAAGCAGGGGAUCUUCGGACCUUGCGCGAUUGAAUGAGCCGAUGUCGGAUUAGCUAGUUGGCGGGGUAAAGGCCAACCAAGGCGACGAUCCGUAGCUGGACUGAGAGGAUGAUCAGCCACACUGGAACUGAGACACGGUCCAGACUCCUACGGGAGGCAGCAGUGGGGAAUAUUGGGCAAUGGGCGCAAGCCUGAUCCAGCCAUACCGCGUGGGUGAAGAAGGCCUUCGGGUUGUAAAGCCCUUUUGUUGGGAAAGAAAAGCAGCAGGUUAAUACCCCGCUGUUCUGACGGUACCCAAAGAAUAAGCACCGGCUAACUUCGUG
rnacentral:rRNA from 1 species